ensembl:snRNA U6 U6 spliceosomal RNA
GUGCUGUGAGUUUGGCAGCACAUAUACUAAAAUUGAAACGAUACAGAGAAGAUUAGCAUGGCCACUGUGCAAGGAUGACAUACAAAUUCAUGAAGCAUUCCAUAUUUUU